rnacentral:misc_RNA from 1 species
AAGCUUAGUUCAUCGAAAAUGAAGCAAAUCCCAAUAUGGGUACUGUUCAUUUCAUUCUCUCUCCUCUUCCACUCAACAAAUUCUAAAGUGGGGGAGGAGGUCAAGAGCUCACUCAUCAACUUUCUUGCAAAACUGAGUGGCACCAAUGGGCAACCAGAUCCAAGUUUUGGUUGGAACAAUGCCACUGAUCCCUGCCAGGAUAAGUGGAAGGGUGUGAUCUGUGAUAGCCAGAACAGAAG